rnacentral:rRNA from 1 species
CAAAACUCAAAAAAUAGAUCUCAGUUCGGACUGUAGGCUGCAACUCGCCUACACGAAGUUGGAAUUGCUAGUAAUCGUGGAUCAGCAUGCCACGGUGAAUACGUUCCCGGGUCUUGUACACACCGCCCGUCACACCAUGGGAGCUGGUAACACCCGAAGUCAGUAGUCUAACCGCAAGGAGGGCGCUGCCGAAAGUGGGAUUAGCGACUGGGGUGAAGUCGUAACAAGGUACC